rnacentral:rRNA from 1 species
AUUGAACGCUGGCGGCAUGCCUUACACAUGCAAGUCGAACGGUAACAGGUCUUCGGAUGCUGACGAGUGGCGAACGGGUGAGUAAUACAUCGGAACGUGCCCGAUCGUGGGGGAUAACGGAGCGAAAGCUUUGCUAAUACCGCAUACGAUCUACGGAUGAAAGCAGGGGACCGCAAGGCCUUGCGCGGACGGAGCGGCCGGUGGCAGAUUGGGGGGUUGAUGGGAUAAAAGCUUACCAAGCCGACGAUUUGUAGCUGGUCUGGGAGGACGACCAGCCACACUGGGACUGAGACACGGCCCAGACUCCUACGGGAGGCAGCAGUGGGGAAUGUUGGACAAUGGGCGAAAGCCUGAUCCAGCCAUGCCGCGUGCAGGAUGAAGGCCUUCGGGUUGUAAACUGCUUUUGUACGGAACGAAAAGCCUCUUUCUAAUAAAGAGAGGUCAUGACGGUACCGUAAGAAUAAGCACCGGCUAACUACGUGCCAGCAGCCGCCGUAACAC